UACGGAGGGGGCAAGCGUUAUUCGGAAUUAUUGGGCGUAAAGAGCUCGUAGGCGGUUCGUCGCGUCGAAUGUGAAAACCCGGGGCUCAACUCCGGGCCUGCAUUCGAUACGGGCGGACUAGAGUUCGGUAGGGGAGACUGGAAUUCCUGGUGUAGCGGUGAAAUGCGCAGAUAUCAGGAGGAACACCGGUGGCGAAGGCGGGUCUCUGGGCCGAUACUGACGCUGAGGAGCGAAAGCGUGGGGAGCGAACAGG
rnacentral:rRNA from 1 species